rnacentral:pre_miRNA from 1 species
AGUGGGAUGGCUGGGUCAUAUGGUAGUAGCAUGUUUUACUUUUAAAGAAACUACCAAACUAUUUUCCAAAGUGGCUGUACCAUUUUACAUUACCUUCAGCAGU